rnacentral:tRNA from 1 species
UUAAUUGAAGCCAAAAUAGAGGCUUUUCAUUGUUAAUGAAGCAAUUGAUUUGUAAAUAAAUCCAAUUAAA